rnacentral:lncRNA from 1 species
AUGAGGCACCACACAUGACUAGUUGAAAUUAGAAUUUGAAACAACGGAAAGAGAGAAAUUUUAGGUUAGUAGCUAAAUCCCCAAGGAUACUAAUUAGAGAAAGAUGUUGGAAUUGCCUUAAUGAGUCACUGCCAACGCAAGUCCUAAGGAAGCAAAGACUGUGAGUAAGCAAAGGUAGCCAGCUGCUGGGAAGAGGACAAUAGAGGAAAAGGUCAGAGGGACUUUAAAAGACUGACUGUGGGCUCCCUGAGGGAAGGAGGGAUGGAGAGAGUAUCGGGUCCUAUAGAAUACCUUAAUUGUUUUUAUGACUUCUCUUUUCCAUAUCCAGUUCACAUGUACUCCUUUCUGUGCAUUAAAUUGAGUUUCUAUUGGCUUCUUUGUAACAAAAAGAACUGAACAGAAACACAUAUCUAUUGGACAAAGAGCAAUAAAAUGAUAUAAUAACUGUAUCUGAGGGUUUUUUCAUUUUAAAGAAUAAAACAAAACAAAAAUCAAACAAAAAAAACCAUCUAUCUGAUGUUGCUCCACUCCCAACAGCAUCACUAACCGGUAUGUACCCAGCUUCAGCUAAAUAUCCCUAAAACACCUCUUACUUUCCAAGGCAAAGUCUCCCACUGUUGAGUCGUGUUGACUGAUAAAAAGUUCCCUCUGGGGUAAAAAAAUGAAAUUAGUUUUACCUAUCCUGGGGUCACCUCCAAAUACAUAUGCCUGUAAUGUAUUUCAAUUAGAAUACAUUACACACUCCCUGUCACCUUCACUAGGAGAAAAUCAGCAAAGUCAACCAGCAUUUUUAGUUGUCACAACUAAAAGGUACUCCUAGCAUCUGGUAGGCGGAGGCCAGGGAUGCUGCUAAACAUCCUACAAUGGACAGGACAGCCUCUCACAACAAAGAAUUUCCAGCCCAAAAUGUCAACUUUGCCAAAGUAGAAAAGCCCUGUACUAAAGGAGACCUUCCAUAUAAUAGACGGAACCCCCUCUUAGAAGAGAGGCCUUAGAAAUGCUAUGGUUUUGGAGCUUUUCUAUUGAGCCCCUCAUAUUUUCCAUCAACAGCAAGGCCCAGGUAUUAAUUAUAUGGUCUUAUUCUGUGACCUGGUUUGUCAUUCCUGAAAUAGCUAAAAGUAAAACAGAUGUCAUUUCAAUAUCAAGAAGCAGUGGAACAGAAAGUGCCAAGGAGCAGGUGUAUCAGAUACUCAGAGGUGGUAAAGUCAUGGCUGUCCAUGCUUUGGAGCUAGGGCAUCUACAAUGCAAAGGAAGAUUUUAAAUGUGAAUUUUGUGUUCUGGUCUAUGAGUAGAUGAUUCACGACACUAGUUUGAAAAUGCCUGAGUAAUAACUUGACUUUGUUUCUGCACUGGACAUCUGUUGUUUUUGUUCACUGGCAUCACUUCCCUUUUCUUUUUUUCUUUCUUUUUUUUUUUCUUUUUUUUUUUUUUUUUUUUUUUUGAGACACAGUCUUGCUCUGUCCCCCAGGCUGGAGUGCAAUGGCAUGAUCUCGGCUCACUGCAACCUCCACCUCCCAGGUUCUAGCGAUUCUCCUGCCUCAGCCUCCUGAGUAGCUGGGAAUGCAUGCGCAUGCCACCACGUCUGGCCAAUUUUAUUUUAACUAGAGACAGGGUUUCAUCAUGUUGGCCAAGCUGGUCUCGAACUCCCGACCUCAGGUGAUUCCUCUGCCUCAGCCUCCCAAAGUGCUGGGAUUACAGGCAUGAGCCACCAUUCCCGGCUCCCUUCCCUUUUCUUAUGGGAACAGCAUUGAAUUUUCCUUUGAGAAAAUACCUCUCCCUAUAGGGGUAGUUCCUACAAAGUUUCGAUGGAAUUAUGUCAGAGGCUCUUAUACUUUCACACCAUGGCUUGGCAAGUAUCUCAAUCUAGGCCAAUCAGUCUUUGUUUCCUUAGGAUAUACAUCUUGAGUGAAGUAAUGCGUGAAUGGGAAACAUUUAAAGCUGAUUCAUGUGAAUUGGGAUAGUUCCUGAACAGAAUGCCUACGGUUCUUUCUAU